rnacentral:lncRNA from 1 species
GAAAAAGAUUCUUUGUACUGCUCUACGUUUUUUCCGUGGUUUUCUCUCUGUUAACUGAACUAGAAGCACAACUUUUAGAGAAUGCUCCUGAAGACCCGGUUCAGGAAAUGACGAUGGAUUUGAGAUUCCUCACCAUAUCC